rnacentral:rRNA from 1 species
GACGAACGCUGGCGGCGUGCCUAAUACAUGCAAGUCGAACGAACCGCGACUAAGUGCUUGCACUAAGUCAAGGUGAGUGGCGAACGGGUGAGUAACACGUGGGUAACCUACCUCAUAGUGGGGGAUAACAGUCGGAAACGACUGCUAAUACCGCAUAGGACAUAGGAUCACAUGAUCCAGUGAGGAAAGGUGGCGCAAGCUAUCGCUAAGAGAUGGACCCGCGGUGCAUUAGCUAGUUGGUAGGGUAAAGGCCUACCAAGGCGAUGAUGCAUAGCCGACCUGAGAGGGUGAUCGGCCACAUUGGGACUGAGACACGGCCCAAACUCCUACGGGAGGCAGCAGUAGGGAAUCUUCCGCAAUGGACGCAAGUCUGACGGAGCAACGCCGCGUGAGUGAAGAAGGUCUUCGGAUCGUAAAGCUCUGUUGUUAGAGAAGAACAGCGCAUAGAGUAACUGCUAUGCGUGUGACGGUAUCCAACCAGAAAGCCACGGCUAACUACGUG